rnacentral:rRNA from 1 species
UGUGAGCUCGAUGAGUAGGGCGGGACACGUGGUAUCCUGUCUGAAUAUGGGGGGACCAUCCUCCAAGGCUAAAUACUCCUGACUGACCGAUAGUGAACCAGUACCGUGAGGGAAAGGCGAAAAGAACCCCGGCGAGGGGAGUGAAAAAGAACCUGAAACCGUGUACGUACAAGCAGUGGGAGCCUCUUAAUGGGGUGACUGCGUACCUUUUGUAUAAUGGGUCAGCGACUUAUAUUCUGUAGCAAGGUUAACCGAAUAGGGGAGCCGAAGGGAAACCGAGUCUUAACUGGGCGUUAAGUUGCAGGGUAUAGACCCGAAACCCGGUGAUCUAGCCAUGGGCAGGUUGAAGGUUGGGUAACACUAACUGGAGGACCGAACCGACUAAUGUUGAAAAAUUAGCGGAUGACUUGUGGCUGGGGGUGAAAGGCCAAUCAAACCGGGAGAUAGCUGGUUCUCCCCGAAAGCUAUUUAGGUAGCGCCUCGUGAAUUCAUCUCCGGGGGUAGAGCACUGUUUCGGCAAGGGGGUCAUCCCGACUUACCAACCCGAUGCAAACUGCGAAUACCGGAGAAUGUUAUCACGGGAGACACACGGCGGGUGCUAACGUCCGUCGUGAAGAGGGAAACAACCCAGACCGCCAGCUAAGGUCCCAAAGUCAUGGUUAAGUGGGAAACGAUGUGGGAAGGCCCAGACAGCCAGGAUGUUGGCUUAGAAGCAGCCAUCAUUUAAAGAAAGCGUAAUAGCUCACUGGUCGAGUCGGCCUGCGCGGAAGAUGUAACGGGGCUAAACCAUGCACCGAAGCUGCGGCAGCGACACUAUGUGUUGUUGGGUAGGGGAGCGUUCUGUAAGCCUGUGAAGGUGUGCUGUGAGGCAUGCUGGAGGUAUCAGAAGUGCGAAUGCUGACAUAAGUAACGAUAAAGCGGGUGAAAAGCCCGCUCGCCGGAAGACCAAGGGUUCCUGUCCAACGUUAAUCGGGGCAGGGUGAGUCGACCCCUAAGGCGAGGCCGAAAGGCGUAGUCGAUGGGAAACAGGUUAAUAUUCCUGUACUUGGUGUUACUGCGAAGGGGGGACGGAGAAGGCUAUGUUGGCCGGGCGACGGUUGUCCCGGUUUAAGCGUGUAGGCUGGUUUUCCAGGCAAAUCCGGAAAACCAAGGCUGAGGCGUGAUGACGAGGCACUACGGUGCUGAAGUGACAAAUGCCCUGCUUCCAGGAAAAGCCUCUAAGCAUCAGGUAACAUCAAAUCGUACCCCAAACCGACACAGGUGGUCAGGUAGAGAAUACCAAGGCGCUUGAGAGAACUCGGGUGAAGGAACUAGGCAAAAUGGUGCCGUAACUUCGGGAGAAGGCACGCUGAUAUGUAGGUGAAGCGACUUGCUCGUGGAGCUGAAAUCAGUCGAAGAUACCAGCUGGCUGCAACUGUUUAUUAAAAACACAGCACUGUGCAAACACGAAAGUGGACGUAUACGGUGUGACGCCUGCCCGGUGCCGGAAGGUUAAUUGAUGGGGUUAGCGGUAACGCGAAGCUCUUGAUCGAAGCCCCGGUAAACGGCGGCCGUAACUAUAACGGUCCUAAGGUAGCGAAAUUCCUUGUCGGGUAAGUUCCGACCUGCACGAAUGGCGUAAUGAUGGCCAGGCUGUCUCCACCCGAGACUCAGUGAAAUUGAACUCGCUGUGAAGAUGCAGUGUACCCGCGGCAAGACGGAAAGACCCCGUGAACCUUUACUAUAGCUUGACACUGAACAUUGAGCCUUGAUGUGUAGGAUAGGUGGGAGGCUUUGAAGUGUGGACGCCAGUCUGCAUGGAGCCGACCUUGAAAUACCACCCUUUAAUGUUUGAUGUUCUAACGUUGGCCCGUAAUCCGGGUUGCGGACAGUGUCUGGUGGGUAGUUUGACUGGGGCGGUCUCCUCCUAAAGAGUAACGGAGGAGCACGAAGGUUGGCUAAUCCUGGUCGGACAUCAGGAGGUUAGUGCAAUGGCAUAAGCCAGCUUGACUGCGAGCGUGACGGCGCGAGCAGGUGCGAAAGCAGGUCAUAGUGAUCCGGUGGUUCUGAAUGGAAGGGCCAUCGCUCAACGGAUAAAAGGUACUCCGGGGAUAACAGGCUGAUACCGCCCAAGAGUUCAUAUCGACGGCGGUGUUUGGCACCUCGAUGUCGGCUCAUCACAUCCUGGGGCUGAAGUAGGUCCCAAGGGUAUGGCUGUUCGCCAUUUAAAGUGGUACGCGAGCUGGGUUUAGAACGUCGUGAGACAGUUCGGUCCCUAUCUGCCGUGGGCGCUGGAGAACUGAGGGGGGCUGCUCCUAGUACGAGAGGACCGGAGUGGACGCAUCACUGGUGUUCGGGUUGUCAUGCCAAUGGCACUGCCCGGUAGCUAAAUGCGGAAGAGAUAAGUGCUGAAAGCAUCUAAGCACGAAACUUGCCCCGAGAUGAGUUCUCCCUGACUCCUUGAGAGUCCUGAAGGAACGUUGAAGACGACGACGUUGAUAGGCCGGGUGUGUAAGCGCAGCGAUGCGUUGAGCUAACCGGUACUAAUGAACCGUGAGGCUUAACCUUACAACGCCGAAG